GAUUGAACGCUGGCGGCAUGCCUUACACAUGCAAGUCGAACGGCAGCAUGAUCUAGCUUGCUAGAUUGAUGGCGAGUGGCGAACGGGUGAGUAAUACAUCGGAACGUGCCCUGUAGUGGGGGAUAACUAGUCGAAAGAUUAGCUAAUACCGCAUACGACCUGAGGGUGAAAGUGGGGGACCGCAAGGCCUCAUGCUAUAGGAGCGGCCGAUGUCUGAUUGGCUAGUUGGUGAGGUAAAGGCUCACCAAGGCGACGAUCAGUAGCUGGUCUGAGAGGACGAUCAGCCACACUGGGACUGAGACACGGCCCAGACUCCUACGGGAGGCAGCAGUGGGGAAUUUUGGACAAUGGGGGCAACCCUGAUCCAGCAAUGCCGCGUGUGUGAAGAAGGCCUUCGGGUUGUAAAGCACUUUUGUCCGGAAAGAAAUCGCACUUACUAAUAUUAGGUGUGGAUGACGGUACCGGAAGAAUAAGGACCGGCUAACUACGUGCCAGCAGCCGCGGUAAUACGUAGGGUCCAAGCGUUAAUCGGAAUUACUGGGCGUAAAGCGUGCGCAGGCGGUUGUGCAAGACCGAUGUGAAAUCCCCGGGCUUAACCUGGGAAUUGCAUUGGUGACUGCACGGCUAGAGUGUGUCAGAGGGGGGUAGAAUUCCACGUGUAGCAGUGAAAUGCGUAGAGAUGUGGAGGAAUACCGAUGGCGAAGGCAGCCCCCUGGGAUAACACUGACGCUCAUGCACGAAAGCGUGGGGGAGCAAACAGGAUUAGAUACCCUGGUAGUCCACGCCCUAAACGAUGUCAACUAGUUGUUGGGGAUUCAUUUCCUUAGUAACGUAGCUAACGCGUGAAGUUGACCGCCUGGGGAGUACGGUCGCAAGAUUAAAACUCAAAGGAAUUGACGGGGACCCGCACAAGCGGUGGAUGAUGUGGAUUAAUUCGAUGCAACGCGAAAAACCUUACCUACCCUUGACAUGCCACUAACGAAGCAGAGAUGCAUUAGGUGCUCGAAAGAGAAAGUGGACACAGGUGCUGCAUGGCUGUCGUCAGCUCGUGUCGUGAGAUGUUGGGUUAAGUCCCGCAACGAGCGCAACCCUUGUCUCUAGUUGCUACGAAAGGGCACUCUAGAGAGACUGCCGGUGACAAACCGGAGGAAGGUGGGGAUGACGUCAAGUCCUCAUGGCCCUUAUGGGUAGGGCUUCACACGUCAUACAAUGGUGCAUACAGAGGGUUGCCAAGCCGCGAGGUGGAGCUAAUCCCAGAAAAUGCAUCGUAGUCCGGAUCGUAGUCUGCAACUCGACUACGUGAAGCUGGAAUCGCUAGUAAUCGCGGAUCAGCAUGCCGCGGUGAAUACGUUCCCGGGUCUUGUACACACCGC
rnacentral:rRNA from 1 species